rnacentral:lncRNA from 1 species
UAGAGCGUACCUUAACUUUAAAAAAGAAGAAACAAUAAAUGUAAGUUAUCAAAAGAAAGAAAGAAAGAAAGAAAAACAGAGUCAGAAAUGAGUCUUCGAUCACCAAAAGCCAUGCCCACUUCAUAUCCUUGUAACUACAAAACUUUGAUCAAAAGCAAUAAGCCUCGCAAACGACUAAAAGAAUCCAAAACACAGCACAGACGUAUAAAAAAAUCAAGUAUAAAAAAUUCUCUUUUCUCGAGUUAAUUUGGUUGUGGUCUUCAUUGCUCAACGAGUCCCUUGUGACUGACUCUAGGAGAUUCCCAUAAAGAGUAAAGACUUAGUGUAUUGAAAAAUAGGAAAAGAAUGACAAUACUUCUAGCUUCUCGAAAACUCAUAUUAGAGAGUAUAUUCAAUUGCAGCCAUUGCAACAAGUGCUGUACUACAACUUUUUUUCCUUCAAUUAUCGACUAAAUCAACUGAAAACACAAUGGCCAUAUCUUAGGAACAGCAUAUAUAUACAAAAUGUACUCGUGCAACAGCAAGGACUCGAUUGGCAGCGCAAUGUGACUCAACAAACAUGCGGUGAUGGAAAAAACAAAAUGCUACUCUACUAAAGUCUACAGAUCACUUCACUCGUGAUUUUUUUGGAUUAAGGACCUAAUUAUUUCAAAGAAGUCAAGCUAACCUGAUAAAUUGUUUAUAGCAUAACUCCCACACCCAUAAAUUAAACGGACAUAAAUUCAUCACCAAGUACCUGUUCAAUGUAACAAAAGGGUUGUGAGUAAUUGGGCAGACAUAAAAAAUCAUCGGCGAGAGAAAUUGACAUCGUCAUUAUUUCACAAAACAAAUUCAAAUUAAAAGCCUAAGUUAGCGUUUUCCAGAAACCUCAACAUGUCACGCACCACCUAACACUGCUGGCAAGGCGAGCCAUACACAAGAACAAGAUAAUAUCUUAUAAGUGUAAUGGUCAUAAGAUAGAAAAUAAAACCAUAAACACCUCAAAACCAUUUUUAAAUUUUUAGGAUCCCGACGAAGUCAAACUUUGACUGCCUGGGUCAACUUUCGGUCAACCUCCCCCAAAUCCACUGAAACAUACUCCAACAGAUAGUUCUCACCUAGAGGAGUCCAUAUANNNNNNNNNNNNNNNNNNACUACUAAGUACGUACUACUACGUACGUACAGUACGUAUAUAUAUAUAUAUAUAUAUAUAUAUAUAUAUAUAUAUAUAUAUAUAUAUAUAUGCUCAAAGUCGAAUCUUGAUCUGAAACGAGCAUAUACGGAGGUUUGACUCAUUUUUCAAUACCGAGUAAAAUUACUACCCGGUCUACGGACUCAAAAUUCAAAUAAUUUUAUAUUCACACAAAGCCCACAAAUCAAGUAUUCCAAAUUUAUAAUCAAAAUCUGAUUUUUAUUAGAACUAGACGGUCAAUUGAGCAUUUUCUCAAAUUUAGCACCAAAGCAAUAAACCGACCAAAAUCCUAUAACUUUGGUGUUAUACUCGUAAUCGAAACAUGUUAUAAUAAUAAUAAUAAUAAUAGUCAAAGAAGGUAUAAAAAUGUUACCUCAAUGUUUCUUUUUGAUUCCCAAUAUUUUCUACCUUUUUCUCAUAAGCUAUG